rnacentral:rRNA from 1 species
UACGUAGGUGGCGAGCGUUGUCCGGAUUUAUUGGGCGUAAAGCGCGCGCAGGCGGUCCGGCAAGUCCUGUGUGAAAUCUCCCGGCUCAACCGGGAGGGUGCGGAGGAGACUGUCGAACUGGAGGGACCGAGAGGCCGGUGGAAUUCCCGGUGUAGUGGUGAAAUGCGUAGAUAUCGGGAGGAACACCUGUGGUGUAGACGGCUAUCUGGACGGCGACUGACGCUGAGACACGAAAGCGUGGGUAGCAAACAGG